rnacentral:rRNA from 1 species
UACGUAGGUGGCAAGCGUUUUCCGGGAUUAUUGGGCGUAAAGCGCGCGCAGGCGGUCCUUUAAGUCUGAUGUGAAAGCCCACGGCUCAACCGUGGAGGGUCAUUGGAAACUGGGGGACUUGAGUGCAGAAGAGGAGAGUGGAAUUCCACGUGUAGCGGUGAAAUGCGUAGAGAUGUGGAGGAACACCAGUGGCGAAGGCGACUCUCUGGUCUGUAACUGACGCUGAGGCGCGAAAGCGUGGGGAGCAAACAGG